CAGUCGCCGCGGGAAUACGAGGGGAGCUAGCGUUGUUCGGAAUUACUGGGCGUAAAGCGCGCGUAGGCGGCUUUUAAGUCAGAGGUGAAAGCCCGGGGCUCAACCCCGGAAUUGCCUUUGAAACUGGAAAGCUAGAAUCUUGGAGAGGUCAGUGGAAUUCCGAGUGUAGAGGUGAAAUUCGUAGAUAUUCGGAAGAACACCAGUGGCGAAGGCGACUGACUGGACAAGUAUUGACGCUGAGGUGCGAAAGCGUGGGGAGCAAACAGGAUUAGAUACCCGCGUAGUCCCUGUCUCUUAUACA
rnacentral:rRNA from 1 species